CCCCCCAGAUCCGCCACUGUAGAUACCAGUAUCACAUGGAUCGCCAAGUGAAUUUAAACUCGGUGAUGUAGCGUUCCUAGUAAAUUCGCCGCUCUCAUGGCCGAAUUUUCUAAACAAGGGGCGAUAUCCUCUGAGAAUUCGUUUACCGGCUGCUGGAUUAUGCAUGGAUUUAGGCUGAGGGUGGCGAAAGUAGAAAUCUCUACACGAUUUUCAUUUAGUUAUAUUGGAAAAAAUCGGUAUUUAUUCAUCACUUGUAUUGUUCAAUCAAAAUAUAAUGAACAUAGUGCACAGUAGUUGGUUGACUACAUAAAAGCAUAGCUCGAAACAUUUAUGGGUACCCUCAAUGGGCCUAUUAUGACUAGUAUUUCUUGCUUGAGAGCAUAAUAAUACAGUAAAUACUCCCGCUUCAUUAAUUAUUAUUGAUACCUGGUUUUUCCCAAUCCAAAUCACGUGUGUGAUUUUAUCCAACCAGCACUUAUCAACGCAAGGCGUAUCAACGAUUUGUGAUGAAAAAGAAAUACAUCACUUGUUUUCGUACGGAAUUUGCAGUACAUGUCCUAUUUACAAAGUCAAUCACAUUUUUUAAUUAAGUAAUUUAAAGACAUACAGACAUGGAAAAUCGUGGAUACUCAUUCGAGAAAAAGGUUGAAGAGUACUUGAGAAAGAAAUUUGGAAGUUCGAAUGUCAAAUCAGAAGUGCCAAUGAACGGAAGUAAAGCUGACUUUGUUGUGUGUGGAAACCAGAUAUGGGAAGCGAAGUCCUCACCAAAGAUCGAAAAGGAGGACGUCUCGCAAGCUGCAAGGAUUGCUGAAGGAAGAGGAAAAGCUAUCCUUGCUGUUGGGCGAGAUGCAAGAGUUUCUGACACUGUUCAGCAGUAUGCACGCUCUCAAAGUGUGAAGAUAAAACACAUGGACUUUAAUUAAACCGCUGUUGAUGUAUUUGAUCAUCCAUAAAAAAUAUCAAAGUGUACACGGAGUGGAAAACUAUGUGUCCACGCUGUGUUUCAAACGUGGAGCAGGGACGGAACCAAAGCAAAAUAUGACAAUUUAUGGUUUUCAAAGGACUAUUUAAUCGAUUGUAGAGUCUACUAAUAAUAUGUAGAAUAGGCCUAUACAUAUAAUUUGUUGGCCUCCCCGAUAAACUGUGGUUUUUCUCCCCGACACAGAGGGAGGGGGGCUCCCCCGGCCCCACCUGGAACAGUCUUCUGCUCUUUUACACUCUCUGACAUUUCUUGGGAUUGGCUACGCAGUAUGUGGUACAGUAUAAUUCAAUAUAAGCAAAUGUCAAAUGUCAUAUAAUAAUAAUGUUAUAAAAUGUCAUAAUUCAAUAAAAGCAAAUGUCCUAAUUAAACAUACUGUAAACUAAAGAGAACUACCUGUACAAACGUCAAUUUAUAAAACAUCUAAAUCAAAAUAAUACACAUUUAAUGAAGAUGAUGGUGUAUACAGUUUUAGGGAAUAUCUUUAUUGGAGUCCAUUGAGUAAACACAAACUUCAAGUUUCAAUUAAUUUUUGUUUUCAAUGAUUUCUUUUCAAUUUUUUUUUUUUUAUUGUUAUCUUGUACAUUGUAACUUUUUGCGAAGUUUGAUUCUUCUGUACAUCGGUUGUUCUGUGUACAACGAUUUUUUUUCUAUUUUGGGUGUUUAUUAUAUAGUAUAGUUAUAUAGUAUAGUAUAAUUCAAUAUAAACAAAUGUCAUAAUAAUAAUGUCAUAUUAUAAUAAUGUUAUAAAAUGUCAUAAUUCAAUAAAAGCAAAUGUCCUAAUUAAACAUACUAAACAUAUCUAAAUCAAAAUAAUACACAUUUAUUGCUGUUAAGAUUAUGUGUAUACAGUUUUAGGGAAUAUCUUUAUUGGAGUCCACUGAGUUAACACAAACUUCAAGUUUCAAUUAAGUUUUUUUUUCAAUGAUAUUUUCUUUUUUUUUCAAAUUGUUAUCUUGUGUAUUGUAACUUAUAUGCGAAGUUUGGUUCUUCUGUACAUCGGUUGUUCUGUGUACAACGAUUUUUUUUUUCUAUUUUUGGAUUUUAUUAUAUGCACUGUAAGAAAACAUGCGAAUAAAAAUUAUUG